rnacentral:rRNA from 1 species
UCUUCCGCAAUGGGCGAAAGCCUGACGGAGCAACGCCGCGUGAGUGAUGAAGGUCUUCGGAUCGUAAAACUCUGUUAUUAGGGAAGAACAAAUGUGUAAGUAACUAUGCACGUCUUGACGGUACCUAAUCAGAAAGCCACGGCUAACUACGUGCCAGCAGCCGCGGUAAUACGUAGGUGGCAAGCGUUAUCCGGAAUUAUUGGGCGUAAAGCGCGCGUAGGCGGUUUUUUAAGUCUGAUGUGAAAGCCCACGGCUCAACCGUGGAGGGUCAUUGGAAACUGGAAAACUUGAGUGCAGAAGAGGAAAGUGGAAUUCCAUGUGUAGCGGUGAAAUGCGCAGAGAUAUGGAGGAACACCAGUGGCGAAGGCGACUUUCUGGUCUGUAACUGACGCUGAUGUGCGAAAGCGUGGGGAUCAAACAGG